UAAAAGUUGAACAAUUUACCGUGUCCCUCAGCAGUUUGGCUACUGUAGAUUGUGAUUUAUUAGCGUAUAGUUAUGUGACAGCUAUCCGUUUUCUCGAUUGAUCAGAUCCAGCAGCCUAUUUUUCUUUUUCUGGCGAUUAAUUUUUGAGCCUUCCUAUUGUGGGAUUACCGGCUGGUGUAGGCUCUCCUAAUAUUUAGGAUCUUUGGUUUCCCGGUUGCUUACCAGUUUCUCUCUCUUUCCACGUUGCCAGCUGGUCCACGCCUGGUUGUUACUUCCCUGUUUUUUUCUAUCUCCCGUAGAAAUCUCUAGAAAGAACCGCCCCACCGCUGUACAAAGAAUUAUCUCGAUCCACCAUGGAGUCUAGGAACUGAAUCCCCGUCUCCACCCGCCCCCACCUCCACCCCCAGAUGCGCACCACACCACCAUUCUUUCUUGCCCCCGGAUCCUUUCUGCCGCAAAGACGGCGAGCGACUAGCUCUUCUACAGGACAAAGGCGGCGAGCGAGAUGACCACAACGAAAGUAUGUGUGGGCUUGACGACAAGGUGCGCGAUGCUGGCUAGGACAAGUGAAGGUGAUCCUAUGAGUGCACGUUCUGCUUCUUAUGUUCUUCUUCCAGUGCGUCCCACCGUUUCCCUUCGCGCUCAUUCUAUUGGGGAUUGUACUGUUACCAAACUUUUCGUUGUCAUGGAUGCUCCGAGAUCUGACCUGUCCCGAGGAUCGCUAAAACGGCCCAUGAUCUUGACCUGUCCCGAGGAUCGCUAGAACGGCCCAGGACUAAAUUACUGAAAAAUAUCUGCUCUAAACGUACUGUCAAAUGACCAUGUUUCUCUUUGCAUGGUAUGUGCAAGCAUAUAUGUUCAGAUGCUAACUGGAAAUAGCAAUAGUGAUGGUGAUUAGACAGAAAAGAAACAACGAGAGAAGAACUAAGAGAAGAUAGCGUGGAGCAUACUGACUUAAUUCUGCGCUGCCUUGAAGAUAUGCAAGGUCAGCUAAAUUAAGUAUGGAAAUAGGACCUUUUCUAGAGUUCUGAAUUAUACAUAUGUCGGUCAGUCCGUGCUACCUCCGAACUGUAGAUAGGGAAUAUGAGACGCAUGAGGAGCACAUGCUUUUAAUUACGUGGUUUCUAAUUUAGAAUAUUGAAUUCUUCGUCUAUACUUCUACUAUUUAGUUUUGGGUGGAAACCACAUGCACGGCGUAUUUGCCUCAAAAGUGUACUGUAGGAUUUGAACCUUUUAAAUUUUCUGAUAGAAGUUUCAUCCUUGAUUCACACAGUUAGAAAUAUGUGAAGACAAAUAUCUUCACCAAAUAUAAUUUCUUAGAAUCCAAUAACUCAUAUUUCAAUUGUUUUUGUGUGGGGUAAUGAAACACCAUUUAAUUUGGUGCUGGAUCUUAAAGAUACUAUUAGUGUAGGAUUAAGAGGUUCCAAGUCUACAAACUUCCAUAUUGUCGUAUUCUAAUGAUUCCUACACAUUUGGAUCUUAUGAAAUGAAUAUGUCGUAAAAAAGAGUAAAAUAAACACUAUAUGAUCUAUUUAGAAAUCCCUUGGACGGUUCCUCUUGGAUGACCAUUUUUCUCAUCCUCUUGGAUGGCCAUUUGUUCUGACUGCCUCUCCUGCGCAUAUGUAUCCCUGUACUGCAGCGGAUAGUUGUGUCUAGGUCAUAACGGCAAUGCAGACAACUUUGGUCAAGGAUGUCUGCCAGUGGGAUGAUGAAUGGAAGAUCCUUCACGCAGUUGCAUCUAGGAGUACGAAGAUUUAGAAAUUUGUGUGAAUUGGAUUUGAUCGUGCUCGUGAGGCUCUUUAUUUAACUCACUUAUUGCUGAAGGGCACUUUAUUUAACUCACAUUUGCAUGCUGCCUCUAUAUACCCAACACACAUUUGCAUGCUGCCUCUUUAUUUAACUCACUUAUUGCUGCACGGCACUGGGUAUGGAUUUAUUUAUGCUGAAACCCAGGAUAUAUCUUUGCUGCUCAUAGAUUGAGGCUUAUGAUUUCUCAGAGUUCCUUUCCAUUUCUACCAGACUCUUUUCACGGAUUAUUGCUCUAUAUCAUCUCAUGGCUUUAAGAUUUUACCUCGCACUGCAAUAAAGCAUCUAAAAUUGCAUCUAAUCGUUUGUAUUUUGUUUUCUUGAAAUAUAUAUAUAUAAAAAAAUGAAACCGUGUCUAGGAGGAACUAGACACUUUUUUGUGUUUUGUUUUCUUGAAAUAUAUGUUAGAUUAUCUUCGAACUGCUGAUGCACUAGGUGUUUGGUGGACACGCUAAAUGCAACACACAUCAGUUUGAAUGGCCUAGACUUGAUGCUUCCUGAGUGCAUCUUUUGAAUUUUUUUGAGGAGUUGGAUGGACUUAAUCAAGAAAAUACUCAGAUAGUAACAUUACCAGCAGAUUCUUCACCAUCUCAUACUAUGUAAAUUUCUUUCUUGGAGAAAUACAGAAUUCCAUGAGAUAACUUGAAGAUAGCAGUUCCCGCAGAACGAACACUGAAUACUCGAUUCGCUGCAGAUAUCUACACUGAGGGAAUCGGCUUCAGAUAUCUACAGAUGUCAGCUGCAGAUAUUCAACGCUCAAGCUUCCCGCAGAAAUUGAUGCGGUCGCAGACACAUCUUAUUUAUCUUAGAUCAUCCUACUGCAACAUUAUGUAUGUUUUUUUGUUUCCAGUUUGCUCUAUGUUAUACUAUUCAAGAUAGUUCCUUUUGUGUGCUCUUUGUUUAGCUGUAGUCAGCAUACUGAAGACUAUCAUCCUUUCUCCCAUCUGUCUUUAUACUACUUCCAAUCAUUGGAAUCAGUUCACUAUA